rnacentral:rRNA from 1 species
CUGCAGCCCGAGUGGUGAUCGAUUUUAUUGAGCCUAAAGUGUCCGUAGCCGGACUAGUAAACCCUUGGGUAAAUUGGGCAGCUUAACUGUCCAAAUUCCGAGGGGACUGCUAGUCUUGGGACCGGGAGAGGUCAGAGGUACUCAAGGGGUAGGGGCUAAAUCCUGUAAUCCUUUGGGGACCACCAGUGGCGAAGGCGUCUGACUAGAACGGAUCCGACGGUAAGGGACGAAACCCUGGGGCGCGAACCGGAUUAGAUACCCGAGUAGUCC